UGCAAGUCGAGGGGUAGAGUUCUUCGGAAUUAGAGACCGGCGCACGGGUGCGUAACGCGUAUGCAAUCUACCUUUUACAGAGGGAUAGCCCGGAGAAAUUUGGAUUAAUACCUCAUAGCAUAGCAGCUUCGCAUGAAGCCACUAUUAAAGUCACAACGGUAAAAGAUGAGCAUGCGUCCCAUUAGCUAGUUGGUAAGGUAACGGCUUACCAAGGCUACGAUGGGUAGGGGUCCUGAGAGGGAGAUCCCCCACACUGGUACUGAGACACGGACCAGACUCCUACGGGAGGCAGCAGUGAGGAAUAUUGGACAAUGGGCGCAAGCCUGAUCCAGCCAUGCCGCGUGCAGGAUGACGGUCCUAUGGAUUGUUAAACUGCUUUUAUACAGGAAGAAACAGUUCUACGUGUAGAACCCUUGACGGUACUGUAAGAAUAAGGAUCGGCUAACUCCGUGCCAGCAGCCGCGGUAAUACGGAGGAUCCAAGCGUUAUCCGGAAUCAUUGGGUUUAAAGGGUCCGUAGGCGGUUUAAUAAGUCAGUGGUGAAAGCCCAUCGCUCAACGGUGGAACGGCCAUUGAUACUGUUAAACUUGAAUUAUUAGGAAGUAACUAGAAUAUGUAGUGUAGCGGUGAAAUGCUUAGAGAUUACAUGGAAUACCAAUUGCGAAGGCAGGUUACUACUAAUUGAUUGACGCUGAUGGACGAAAGCGUGGGUAGCGAACAGGAUUAGAUACCCUGGUAGUCCACGCCGUAAACGAUGGAUACUAGCUGUUGGGAGCAAUCUCAGUGGCUAAGCGAAAGUGAUAAGUAUCCCACCUGGGGAGUACGUUCGCAAGAAUGAAACUCAAAGGAAUUGACGGGGGCCCGCACAAGCGGUGGAGCAUGUGGUUUAAUUCGAUGAUACGCGAGGAACCUUACCAAGGCUUAAAUGUAGAUUGACCGGUUUGGAAACAGAUCUUUCGCAAGACAAUUUACAAGGUGCUGCAUGGUUGUCGUCAGCUCGUGCCGUGAGGUGUCAGGUUAAGUCCUAUAACGAGCGCAACCCCUGUUGUUAGUUGCCAGCGAGUCAUGUCGGGAACUCUAACAAGACUGCCAGUGCAAACUGUGAGGAAGGUGGGGAUGACGUCAAAUCAUCACGGCCCUUACGCCUUGGGCUACACACGUGCUACAAUGGCCGGUACAGAGAGCAGCCACUGGGCGACCAGGAGCGAAUCUAUAAAACCGGUCACAGUUCGGAUCGGAGUCUGCAACUCGACUCCGUGAAGCUGGAAUCGCU
rnacentral:rRNA from 1 species